rnacentral:rRNA from 1 species
UACGUAGGGGCCAAGCGUUGUCCGGAUUUAUUGGGCGUAAAGAGCUCGUAGGCGGUUGGGUAAGUCGGGUGUGAAAUCCCCAGGCUUAACUUGGGAACUGCGUCCGAUACUGGAGGGCUUGAGUGCGGGAGAGGGAUGUGGAAUUCCAGGUGUAGCGGUGAAAUGCGUAGAUAUCUGGAGGAACACCGGUGGCGAAGGCGGCAUCCUGGACCGACACUGACGCUGAUGCGCGAAAGCCAGGGGAGCAAACGGG